GUGAGGAAUAUUGCGCAAUGGAGGCAACUCUGACGCAGCCAUGCCGCGUGCAGGAAGAAGGCGCUACGCGUUGUAAACUGCUUUUAACCGGGAAGAAACCCCAGGACGUGUCCUGGGUUGACGGUACCGGAGGAAUAAGCACCGGCUAACUUCGUGCCAGCAGCCGCGGUAAUACGAAGGGUGCAAGCGUUAUCCGGAUUCAUUGGGUUUAAAGGGUGCGUAGGCGGAGCGUUAAGUCAGUGGUGAAAUCCUGCAGCUUAACUGUAGACUUGCCAUUGAUACUGGCGCUCUUGAGUGCGCUUGAAGUGGGCGGAAUGUGCCGUGUAGCGGUGAAAUGCUUAGAUACGGCACAGAACACCAAUUGCGAAGGCAGCUCACUAAGGCGAUACUGACGCUGAGGCACGAAAGCGUGGGGAUCGAACAGGAUUAGAUACCCUAGUAGUCC
rnacentral:rRNA from 1 species